rnacentral:lncRNA from 1 species
AGACGCGCCGCGCAGCAGGUCGGAGCAGCCUCCCCGGGAGGAUGUCCAGCGGCAGCGCUCCUCGCUCCAGCCCUUGGGGAUCUUCCGCUGAGGCAUUGAAGGCAGGAAGAAGGGGUCCGUCAUCGGCUCGCCGGGCUGCGCGCCACCUCUGCUAUCUUGCGGAAAGAGGAGCGGGUGGGUGGGCGUCUGGGAGGCGGGCUGGAGGGCGGUGCAGGGGAGCGGGGCGGCCGGGGGGGGGGCCGGGGGGCGGGGAAGGGAGGGAGGAGAAAGGAGCCGGAAGAGGGCAGAGUUACCAAAUGGGCUCCUUAGUCAUGGCUUGGGGCUCCACGACCCUCCUGGAAGCCCGGAGCCUGGGUGGGAUAGCGAGGCUGCGCGCGGCCGGCGCCCCGGGGCUGGUGCGCGGCAGAAUGGGGCCGCGGCGGCGGCAGCAAGGACAUCCCAGCCGCGCGGAUCUGGGGGAGGGGCGGGGAGGGGGUGAGGACCCGGCUGGGAUCCGCGGCUCGGCCCGCCAGGGCGCAGAGAGAGGAUGCAGCCGCAAAUCCCGAGCCGGAUCCUCGUGCCGGACGGAAGGCGUGGAAGCGGGAGGGGCCUUCGUGUGAAAAUCCCUUGUGGGGUUUGGUGUUUCACUUUUUAAAGGCAUACAACUUAGGAUUCAUAACUACAUAUAUACGGAUAGAAGUGCAUGAACAGAAAAUCUGCCCUUCUGGAAUACCAAAUGCAAAAUUAAAGUGACUACAAGCAGAAUUUGGAGAAAAAAAUAAAAGAUGCAAUAUAGUUUUUAAAAUCAUUGUUAAAAUAUAAUGAGUCUGUACUUUGCUUAAACAAUAAAAAAGUCUUCGAUUUAUA